UACGUAGGGCGCGAGCGUUGUCCGGAAUUAUUGGGCGUAAAGAGCUCGUAGGCGGUGUGUCGCGUCGGCCGUGAAAACCUGGGGCUUAACUCUGGGCGUGCGGUCGAUACGGGCAUCACUGGAGUUCGGCAGGGGAGACUGGAAUUCCUGGUGUAGCGGUGAAAUGCGCAGAUAUCAGGAGGAACACCGGUGGCGAAGGCGGGUCUCUGGGCCGAUACUGACGCUGAGGAGCGAAAGCAUGGGUAGCGAACAGG
rnacentral:rRNA from 1 species